GGGGCCCAAUAAACAACAGUCUAGAAUUACAAAGCCCAGUUACAACCAAACUUAAAACCCAAAAUAUACAAAGUAGCCCAACAGGCCCAAAACAUAACCCUAGCCCAAACUAAAACCCGAAACAGAAAAUAAGGAAGCAGCACGCCCCUUUGACCAGCGCCGCAUGUUCGUCGGCCGCCCUACAUCCCGCUCCUCCACGUUCGCACCCACGUACCACAUCAGUGCCCACGUCCACAACGCCACCCACAACCUGUAAUAGUUGAAAAUCAGUUGUAAAAAGGGCUAUAAAAGUCUCAUGAAAUUAUUGUUUUGGGGAGAUUUUUUUGGAUAAAAAUACGCACAAUCGAUAGAGAAGAAGAGAAAACAAUUUUAAAGGUGGUUUCUAGCUUUCGUUUUUUUGUUUCCUCUUUUUUUUUGUUUUUUUUCUUUCAUUUUCUUCACUUUCUUUUUCUAUACCUACGAAAAUCAAAAAAGGAAAAGAGAAAGACUUACCUGAACUCGCGGUCAUGGCACUGGAGAGUCCUCCGUCGUCGGGAUUAGGCUCAAAAAUGGGGUGGUCGGAUGGCCUCUCUAUGAUCUGUUGAAGGAGAGCAAAAAUGGGGGUGUUAGGGAUUUGGUUCUUUUUAAGAAGAGAAAGAAACUUUGUUUUUUAAAGAAGAAAAAUGGAAAUGAUAGUUUAAACCAAAUUUGAAACGUCGUCGUUUAAGAAAGAGAAGAGCUGUUCAUUUUGGAAUUGGGAUAUUUUCGCAAAUGGUCCCUCUUCUUCGCAAUGGUAUUUGAUUGAGUUCCUUUUCUUUUUUAAUUUUGACCCUAUUUUUUAUUUUAAUUUCAUUUUGAUCCUCCCUCAAGUUGUGCGUUUGGAGAGAAAGGGAUAUUUUCAGGAAUAGUCCCUCCACUUUAUUCGUACAUGUGAUUUAAUCCUUUUCUUAUUUAUUUAUUUUUGAUUUUCCCCGAAAUCCAAUUUUAGGUUUUGUUUUAGUCCUUUUUCAUUAUUUUUGUUGUUUCAUUUUCAAAUUAAUUAAUUAUUUGUAAUAUUAUUAGUUAUAUUUUUCAUUAUUAUUUAUUUUUCAUUAUUACUUCUAUUAUUAUUAUCAUCAUACUAUUAAAUUAAUUUGCUUAAUAUUUAGUAUUUAUUCGCUUGAUUAUUUAUUUAUCAUUCUGUAUAGAGAUUUGUUUUAUUUUCAUCCCUUUUGCAAAUUUGUAUUUUAUUUACUUAUUUCAAAUUUUUUAUAUAGUAUUGAUUUCAAGCAAUUUUAUUUUAUUAUUUUUGAUAUUUCAUAUUUUAAAUAGUUUUAUCUUGAUUGAGUUUUAUAUAUUAUUACUUUAAAUUAUCUUAUAUAUUAUUCAUUUUAUAUCGUUUUAUAUAAUAUUUUAUUUUAUAUCAGUACAAGUUAUUUCAUAUAUUGUUUAUUUUGAGUUUAUUUUAUAUAUUAUUUAUUUUAAACUUAUAUAUAUUAUUUUAAAUUUUGUGAUAUACCGUCUAUUUUUUAUUCAUUUUGUAUUUUGUAUUAUAAAUUCAUUUAUUAUUAUUUUUAAAUUAUUUUUACAUUCUAUUUCGACUUGCUUUGUUUUUUAAAUUGUUAUAUAUGUCUUUUAAUUCAUUUGUCUUUGAUUAUUGAUGUUAGCUUCUUAAAUAAUAUAUAUGAUGUGUUUAUUGUCAUUUUGUGUUCUAUAAGCUAUUUAUCUAUAUUUUCAUAUUGUCGUUUUUCAUCAAUGUUUUUAUGCAUCGUUUUAAGAUUGUAUCAAUUUUCUCUCAAAUCCAAAAAAAAAAAAUUAAAAAUAAUAAGGCAAUACUCGAUAUUUGGGAUCUUUGAGAAGAUUGUGCCCUAACUUGCUGGGUUCCAAUUUUCCUCGUUGAAUCUAAAUAACUGAAUAACCUUCUUCAAUCCAAACGUAUAAGUUUCAAAUAAAAGCUUAUUCUUGGGAAUUUGAAGUGUUGUGUCCUAACUCACUGGAUAUGACGUUUCGUUAUCUCGAGAUAAGGAUUUUUAAAAAUAAAGGCAAUAUUCUACGUUUGGAAUUUUGAGAAAUUAUGCCUUAACUUACUGGGCUCCGAUUUUUCAUUUGACCCAAAUAAUUGAAUAUCUUUUUUUAAACUUAAGUGCAUGAGUUAUAAAAAUCAAAAGACAAGCUUAGUUUCGGGGAUUUGAAAUGUCGUAUCCUAACUCACUGGGUGUGACUUUUAUUUCUUCGAGAUAAGAGGGUCUUAGCAUCCAAUUUGAUUUAUUCAAAUGUUCUUUUAAAUAAGAGGAUCGUAUUUUAAAAUCAUUUUCGAUGUUAGGACAUUAAUUAAUCAAUUAGGUAUCAAUUUUGGGUGUUACGAGGGUGCUAACCCUUCCUCGUACGUAACCGGCUCCCAAACCCGUUUUUUAGUUUUGAAGACCAAAAUCAUUGUUUUAAUAAAUAAAAAAUGUUUUAUUAAAAUGAUCGAUCUCAAUGUGAUCCGAUCACACUUCGAAAAAAGAUCGGUAGCAACUCCAUUUUUGUUUUUAAGCCGACUCUCUUUUUUUUAAAUAAAAAAAUAGUUUCGACAGCUUGACUUCUCCACUGGGGACAUCAAGAGAGUCAAGCUGUAAAUUGAUUAAUUUCUGUCCUGUUGUCAAAAAUUAAAAAUCAGAUUUGAAAGUUUACGAUCCUUUUAUUACAUUUGUUUGUGUCAUCUCAUAUGUUUGUUGUGGUUCGAGUCCUUUAGAGUCCUCUCACAUCAUAUUGCAUAACGAUUGCAUGGUUUUACCCCUUUUAAGUGGAAGUGAGAAGCUACUCCUUCGUGAGGUUUUCACCACCGUGCAGGAUAGUGGAUCGCUUUCAGGAUACAUCCGUACCUAUGUCUUUGUGAGAUUUUCAUCUUCGUGCAGCCAUAGGGAACUGUAUUCCCUUAAACUGAACUCGGUCCAUAUAAGCCUAUAAUGGGUGAGGAUUGAGGAAUCUGCCGGUUCGGGUACCACUACUUUAGAACCAAACUGCAUGUAAAAAACCCUAAGAGCUUAACCUACAUAGAACUACGCCAAACCCUAGCAGUCACCCAGAUAGGUGCUUGAUUAUUUUUCAUUUGCUUUGAAUUUUAUUUUUGGUAUAUGAUACUGACUUGUUGUGUUUUAUUUUGGCUAUGGUUGCAUGUCAUUUCAUUUUAAAGAGGUGUCGAUUCACGUUCAAUUACUAAUUUAGAAUGUAACAGCCCGAUUCUGGGCCUAGUCGGAAUAGUGGUUUCGGGACCACAAAUGCGACGAGGGAAAAUAUGGUUAUUAUUAUAUUUUUAUGAUCUACAAUUUCACGGAAAAUUUUCGUAAAAAUUUCGUUCGAAAAUUUCGACGUUUGGGCACUCAAUUUAGUCAAAAGGACUAAAUUGUAAAUAGUGCAAAAGUUGAGUUCUACAUCUUAGAGGUGUCUAAUUGUUAUGAAAUUUUAAAUUGGAGGUCUUUAUAUGGUAAUUAGACCAUUAGUUAGUUGAUGGACAAAAAUAGACAUAAGAAAUGGGUGAAAUAGAUUUUUUUUAAAUGGGGGCAUUUUAGUCAUUUGGUUAUUAAAUAGAAUUAAAUGGGAAAAAGAUGGCAAAAUAUGCUCAUCUUCUUCAUGGUGAACGAAAUCAGCAAGGGGGAAGCCAUAUUUAGGGUUUUUAAGCUUUCAAGCUCCAUAGUAAGUGAUUCUAAGCCCCGUUUUUAAUGUUCUUCGUAUUUUUGGAGUCCCGGUAACUUGGUUUAGCUUAUUCUACCAUUAAUUCAUGUUAGGGUUCAUAUUUGGAAAAAUAUUCAUAGGUGAAAUGUGUUUAUUUUGCUGUUUUAUGGUGGAAUAUGAAGCUAGAGAUUAUGUUAAACAACUUUUGCUAAGCAAUUUUAAGCGAAAACGGGUAAAUAGACAUAAUCGGUAAAAAUAAUUAAUAUUCAAAAGUAUGUGUUGGAGUGGGAAUUUGAUGUUUCCAUAGAAGGGAAAAAUGUUCAGCAUGUUAUAAAACUUAAGAAUAAGUGAUGAAGUUUAAUUUCCGAGCUUGGGGACAAAAGUGUAAUUAUGCAAAAGUUUGGGGGCAAAAUUGUAAUUUUCAAAAAAGUUGGGUGGUGGAUUAUUUUAAUAAAUGUGAAUAUUAAACGAGUUAAAUUUGCUAUUAUAGAUCAAGAAAGACGUGAAGAGUAUAUCAAACGGGGAAAAGAAAAGAUAGGGGAGUAAAGUGCAAAAUUACGAUAUUUUGCACCGAGGUAAGUAAACACGUGACUUAAUGUAUUAUUUUGACAUUAUUUGAUAUAUGUUGAGAUUUAUUUGGAAUUAAAAUAAACGUUUGGCCAUAUCCUAAAAAUGUUGUUAAAUCGGGAAAUGUGGUAAAGGGUUGCAAUAUAUGGUUUAUGGGUUGAACACUCGGAAUAAGCCGGAGUAUGUUGUAUAUAAAGGGGUUGCUGUGUGCUGAUUCCCCGAUUCAUUGGUGGUGCUAUGUGCGUGAUCCACCAUAUCUUUGAAAUGUGAAAAGGGGGUUGCUAUGUGCUGAUUCCCCCGAGGGGUUGCUAAGUGCUGAUUCCCCAGUUCAUUGGUGGUGCUAAGUGCGAUAUCCACUGUAUCUUUGAAAUGAAAAGGGGGUUGCUAUGUGCUGAUUCCCCCGAGGGGUUGCUAAGUGCUGAUUCCCCGAUUCAGUGGUGGUGCUAAGUGCGAGAUCCACCAAUAACGGUUAACAUUCCGAGUGUUCAACGAAAAAGUGUGGAAGGUGAAUAUUGCCAUAUGGUGGAAAAUUUUAUGGGGUAAAUAUUGAGUUGGACACUAAAUCGAUCCAUGUAUGAGAUGGGAGAAAAUAUCAAAAACGAAAAAGGAACGAUUUAAUUAUAAACUGUGUUGAACAACAGCAGUUGGGUAACUUUGAAAAAUCACCAUAAAUGGUGGAAAAUGAAUGGGAAGCUGAAUAAUAUAUGAAAUUGAAGCUGAAUGUGUCUAUUUUCAUAUGAAAGAAAGAGAAUAAGCAAAAGAGUUGUAUUUUUGGAGAUAUCUGAAUUUUACUGAAACAGAGCUGGAUUGAUUUCGAGAUCCCCUGUUCCAACUUUGGAAAAUUACCAAAAAUUAAAAAAAAAAUAAUUAUGGCAUGAAAUUUAUAUCCCUGGAAUCCUUAUUGAGUCUAUUUUUAUUAGAAACAAGAAAACCCAUUUUUCAAAUUUUGUACAGAGAGUUAAGUAAAUUUUAGUGAGGAAGGGUCAGAAUCGUUGGGCAGUGAAACAGGGGAAGGUUUAAUGAAUAAACUGUACUAAUUGGCUGGGUUAAAAAUUCUUAAAUUUUUAUGGUGAAAUGGUAUAUGAGACUAGUUUCAGGGAAAAUUUACGGAACUCAAUUUGGAGCCCUGUAGCACCAGAUAAAAAUAAAUUAGCGACUAUGACGCAGAAAAACAGCUUGCUGGAAAUUGCCUAAACAAUAAAGUUAUUCAUGAAUAAGUUAUAUUUUGGUGUAGUUAUGGGAGUAAUUACUUAUUUAUCAUGUGUUUACUUACUAAGCUAUAUGCUUACUCGAUUUUAUUUUUCUCUUGGUUAUAGUGACUUCCAACAACUCGGAAAUUGGAACGAAGUCAGACAGUCAUCUACACUAUCCUUCACAUUUGGGGUAUUUUACUACUAGUGUUCCGAAAUUUUAUGGCAUGUAUAGACACUUUAUGUAAUGUGGGAUCAUCAUGUAAAUAUAUGUUAUGAUUCCCUUUUAAAUGUAGUGUUUAUUAAUAGUUAAACUAUAUGUGUGUUUAUACAAAUGAAAUUGGUUGGUAUAUUGGAAUGUGUUCUAAAUUUGCAGGAGGUUUAAGCAAAAAUAAGUAGGAAUGCUGUCGAAAAUUUUUAAAAAUUUAGUAAUACCUCAUACUCUGUUCCGGUAAGGAAUACGGGUAAGGGGUGUUACAUUUUAGUGGUAUCAGAGCUACGGUUUAGUCGGUUCUCGGACCAAUAAAAUACGUGUGGAAGUCAGUCUAUACAUGCCAUAAAAUUAUUGUGAUAGUGUGAUGAUUUCUGACAAUUUAAAAUUUUGUUUUAUAUAGUAAAUGGAUCCUGAUCGAAGUGUGGCAGAUGAUGUUGAAAGUAACGCGCCGGCUCUCGCGCAAGGGACCGCGCAGGAAGAGAGUAGACAUGAGACAUAUGGACAGGAUGAGGCUCGGGAAGCCUUCCUCCGAAUGAUGAGUGAUUGGUAUAUAGAAUAUGUCCGUGUAAAUCUGAAUGUUCCUCCUCCUCCACCCCCUCCUAUUCCUCAACCGGUCCCCGUAGCUCCACAGAGUGCCGAAUUGGUGAGAUCAAGUAAGCCACCUGUUGAUAGAAUUCGAAAGCAUGGGGCUGAAGAUUUUAGGGCCAAUGUUGAUGAUGAUCCGAAAAAAGCCGAGUUUUGGCUUGAAAAUACUAUUCGGGUAUUUGAUGAAUUAUCUUGCACCCCUGAAGAAUGUUUGAAAUGUGCUGUGUCUUUAUUGAAGGAUUCGGCAUAUCGUUGGUGGAAAACAUUGAUAUCGGUGGUUCCAAAAGAAAGAGUUACUUGGGACUUCUUUCAGGAAGAAUUUAGAAAGAAAUAUGUAAGCCAACGAUUUAUUGAUCAAAAACGCAAAGAGUUUCUCGGGUUGAAACAGGGCCGAAUGUCCGUAGCAGAAUAUGAACGGGAGUUUGUUCGGCUUAGUAAAUAUGCCCAGGAAUGUGUGCCUACGGAGGCUAUUAUGUGUAAAAGAUUUGAAGAGGGGCUAAAUGAAGACAUCAGAUUGCAUGUUGGGAUUUUAGAGUUAAAAGAAUUUGUGGUGUUAGUUGAUCGGGCCUGUAAAGCUGAAGAAUUGAGUAGAGAAAAGAGAAGGGCAGAGAUGGAAUCUCGAGAUGUAAGGAAGAGGACAAUGGGCAGAACAUUUCAAUCUCAUUCGAAGAAGUUUAAAGGGAUGGAUCCACGACCAACUGGUUCAGUUGGGUAUUCACGCAGAGACCGAUGGAGGUCGUAUUCUGGAGCUACAACUCGAGCUACCUCUGUAGCAAGUGUGGGCAAUGUAGGAAACACCCGGCCUGAAUGUCAACAGUGUGGCAGGCGACAUAUUGGUGAGUGUUGGGGAUUUAAACGAGCUUGUUUCAGGUGUGGUUCCCAAGAGCAUUAUGUAAGAGAUUGCCCUGAGAGAAGAGAGGAAGAAAAUUUGCCAAGAGCUGGAUCGGGUGAUAUUGUUAGUAGAGGGAGACCGCCGAGAAAUGUGGGAAGCAAAGUCAGUGGUAAAAGUGUGAUGAAAGAUGCAGCUGAAGGAUCAGAAAUUAGAGCACCUGCCAGGACUUACGCCAUACGUGCUCGAGAGGAUGCCUCAUCUCCCGAUGUGAUUACUAGUACAUUUUCUCUUCAUGAUAUAGAUGUUAUUGCUUUGAUUGAUCCCGGCUCUACUCAUUCAUAUGUAUGCAUGAAAUUGGUAUCUAGUAAGAAAUUACCUGUUGAAAACACUGAAUAUGUAGUUAAAGUAUCAAAUCCAUUAGGCAAGUAUGUCUUAGUUGAUAAGAUUUGCAAGAAUUGCCCCCUGAUGAUUCAAGGUCACUGUUUCCUGGCUAAUUUGAUGUUGUUACCAUUUGAUGAGUUCGAUGUUAUUUUAGGGAUGGAUUGGUUGAUAUUGCAUGAUGCCAAGGUGAAUUGUAGACAGAAAAUUCUUGAAUUAAAGUGUGAAAAUGGUGAAAUUCUCCGGAUUGAAACAGAGGAGCCGAAUAAGUUGCCUAUGGUGAUUUCGCACAUGUCUGCUCAGAAAUACUUGAGAAAGGGAUGUGAAGUUUAUCUUGCUUAUGUGUUGAAUACUGAUAUAACUGGGUCAAAGCUUGAAUCAGUGCCGGUAGUCUGUGAAUUUCCAGAUGUAUUUCCAGAGGAAUUGCCUGGGUUACCUCCGAUUAGAGAAGUUGAGUUUUCUAUUGAUCUGUUACCUGGUACUGCACCGAUUUCUAUUGCACCGUAUCGAAUGGCUCCGACUGAGUUGAAGGAAUUAAAAGCUCAGUUACAAGAGUUGACAGAUAAAGGAUUUGUGAGACCGAGUUUUUCUCCUUGGGGUGCUCCUGUGUUAUUUGUGAAAAAGAAGGACGGCUCUAUGAGACUUUGUAUUGACUAUCGUCAGCUCAAUAAGGUGACCAUAAAGAACAAGUAUCCUUUGCCGAGAAUUGAUGAUUUGUUUGAUCAAUUAAAAGGGGCAACAGUGUUCUCCAAGAUCGGUCUGAGGUCUGGUUACUAUCAGUUGAGAGUUAAAGAGUCUGAUGUGCCGAAAACCGCCUUUAGAACGAGGUAUGGACACUAUGAAUUUCUGGUAAUGCCUUUUGGGUUGACUAAUGCUCCAGCUAUUUUUAUGGACUUGAUGAACCAAAUUUUUCGGCUGUACUUAGACAAGUUCGUGGUGGUGUUCAUAGAUGAUAUUUUAAUCUAUUCUCGGGAUGAAUCGGAACAUGCAGAACAUUUGAGAACUGUGUUGCAGAUUCUGAGAGAAAAGAAAUUGUAUGCUAAAUUCAGCAAAAGUGAGUUUUGGCUUCGUGAGGUUGGAUUCUUGGGACAUAUAGUUUCAAGUGAAGGUAUUCGGGUUGAUCCAAGAAAAAUUUCAGCAAUUGUUGAUUGAGAGCCACCAAAGAAUGUGACUGAAGUUAGAAGCUUCCUGGGCUUAGCUGGGUAUUACAGACGGUUUGUCAAGGGAUUCUCGAUGAUUGCUUCUCCUAUGACUAAGUUACUGCAGAAGAAUGUCAAGUUUGAAUGGACCGAUAAAUGUCAACAGAGUUUUGAAAAGUUAAAGGCAUUAUUGACUGAGGCGCCAGUGUUGGUGCAACCUGAGUCCGGGAAGGAGUUUGUAAUUUACAGUGAUGCAUCGUUGAAUGGCCUUGGGUGUGUGUUAAUGCAAGAGGGCAAAGUAAUAGCUUAUGCUUCGAGACAGUUGAAACCGCAUGAGAAGAAUUAUCCGACGCAUGAUUUAGAAUUGGCUGCCAUUGUUUUUGCUUUAAAAAUUUGGCGUCAUUAUUUGUAUGGUGAAAAGUGCCGAAUCUUCACUGAUCAUAAGAGUUUGAGAUAUUUGAUGAGUCAAAAAGACUUGAAUUUGCGGCAACGAAGAUGGCUCGAGCUAAUCAAAGACUAUGAGCUAGUGAUUGAUUAUCACCCCGGGAAAGCUAAUGUGGUUGCUGAUGCCUUGAGCAGAAAAUCUUUAUUUGCUUUGAGAGCUAUGGGUACGAUGUUAACUUUAUCUGAUGAUGGCUCAAUGUUGGUUGAAUUGAGAGCUAGACCGUUAUUUCUUCAGCAAAUUCGGGAAUCUCAAAAGAAUGACAGUAAAUUGCAAGCCAAGAGAGCUCAGUGUGAAGCAGGUGUUGACUCAGAUUUUCAAAUUGGUUCAGAUGAUUGCCUGAUGUUCAGGGACAGAAUAUGUGUACCGAGAAAUGAUGAGCUAAUUCGGACUAUUUUAGGUGAGGCACACAGUGGUGAUUUAUCAGUCCAUCCGAGUAGUGUGAAAAUGUACAAUGAUUUGAGGAAGUUGUAUUGGUGGCCGGGCAUGAAAAAGGAUAUCUCGGAAUUUGUAACAAAAUGUUUAAUCUGUCAACAAGUGAAGGACAGUUGGGAGAAAUAUCUACCAUUGGUUGAAUUUGCUUAUAAUAAUAGUUAUCAGUCAAGUAUACAAAUGGCACCGUAUGAAGCAUUAUAUGGGCGUAAAUGUAGAACCCCUUUAUAUUGGACUGAACUCGGUGAGAAUCGGAUUCAUGGAGUCGACCUGGUGAAAGAAACUGAAGAAAAGGUGAAAAUAAUCCGUGAUUGCCUAAAAGCUGCCUCAGAUCGGCAAAAGUCGUAUGCGGAUUUAAAGAGAAAAAAAAUUAAGUUUCAAGUGGGUGAUAAAGUGUUCUUGAAAGUAUCCCCAUGGAAGAAGAUUCUGAGAUUUGGUCGUAAAGGCAAACUAAGUCCACGUUUUAUUGGACCAUAUGAAGUUACCGAGAGAGUUGGCCCUGUAGCAUAUCGGUUAGCUUUACCGCCAGAGUUGGAAAAGAUACAUAAUGUAUUUCAUGUGUCGAUGUUGCGACGUUAUCGUUCGGAUCCUUCACAUAUAGUUUCUCCUACAGAGAUUGAGGUUCGACCAGAUAUGACUUAUGAAGAAGAACCCAUAAAGAUUUUGGCUCGGGAGAUCAAACAGUUAAGAAAUAAAAGUGUAGCCUUAGUGAAAGUGUUGUGGCAAAAACAUGGAAUGGAAGAGGCUACGUGGGAACCGGAGGAAAUUAUGAGGAAACAGUACCCAAACCUCUUUUCCGGUAAGAUUUUCGGGGACGAAAAUCCCUAAGGGGGGGAGAGUUGUAACAGCCCGAUUCUGGGCCUAGUCGGAAUAGUGGUUUCGGGACCACAAAUCCGACGAGGGAAAAUAUGGUUAUUAUUAUAUUUUUAUGAUCUACAAUUUCACGGAAAAUUUUCGUAAAAAUUUCGUUCGAAAAUUUCGACGUUUGGGCACUCAAUUUAGUCAAAAGGACUAAAUUGUAAAUAGUGCAAAAGUUGAGUUCUACAUCUUAGAGGUGUCUAAUUGUUAUGAAAUUUUAAAUUGGAGGUCUUUAUGUGGUAAUUAGACCAUUAGUUAGUUGAUGGACAAAAAUAGACAUAAGAAAUGGGUGAAAUAGAUUUUUUUUAAAUGGGGGCAUUUUAGUCAUUUGGUUAUUAAAUAGAAUUAAAUGGGAAAAAGAUGGCAAACUAUGCUCAUCUUCUUCAUGGUGAACGAAAUCAGCAAGGGGGAAGCCAUAUUUAGGGUUUUUAAGCUUUCAAGCUCCAUAGUAAGUGAUUCUAAGCCCCGUUUUUAAUGUUCUUCGUAUUUUUGGAGUCCCGAUAACUUGGUUUAGCUUAUUCUACCAUUAAUUCAUGUUAGGGUUCAUAUUUGGAAAAAUAUCCAUAGGUGAAAUGUGUUUAUUUUGCUGUUUUAUGGUGGAAUAUGAAGCUAGAGAUUAUGUUAAACAACUUUUGCUAAGCAAUUUUAAGCGAAAACGGGUAAAUAGACAUAAUCGGUAAAAAUAAUUAAUAUUCAAAAGUAUGUGUUGGAGUGGGAAUUUGAUGUUUCCAUAGAAGGGAAAAAUGUUCAGCAUGUUAUAAAACUUAAGAAUAAGUGAUGAAGUUUAAUUUCCGAGCUUGGGGACAAAAGUGUAAUUAUGCAAAAGUUUGGGGGCAAAAUUGUAAUUUUCAAAAAAGUUGGGUGGUGGAUUAUUUUAAUAAAUGUGAAUAUUAAACGAGUUAAAUUUGCUAUUAUAGAUCAAGAAAGACGUGAAGAGUAUAUCAAACGGGGAAAAGAAAAGAUAGGGGAGUAAAGUGCAAAAUUACGAUAUUUUGCACCUAGGUAAGUAAACACGUGACUUAAUGUAUUAUUUUGACAUUAUUUGAUAUAUGUUGAGAUUUAUUUGGAAUUAAAAUAAACGUUUGGCCAUAUCCUAAAAAUGUUGUUAAAUCGGGAAAUGUGGUAAAGGGUUGCAAUAUAUGGUUUAUGGGUUGAACACUCGGAAUAAGCCGGAGUAUGUUGUAUAUAAAGGGGUUGCUGUGUGCUGAUUCCCCGAUUCAUUGGUGGUGCUAUGUGCGUGAUCCACCAUAUCUUUGAAAUGUGAAAAGGGGGUUGCUAUGUGCUGAUUCCCCCGAGGGGUUGCUAAGUGCUGAUUCCCCAGUUCAUUGGUGGUGCUAAGUGCGAUAUCCACUGUAUCUUUGAAAUGAAAAGGGGGUUGCUAUGUGCUGAUUCCCCCGAGGGGUUGCUAAGUGCUGAUUCCCCAAUUCAGUGGUGGUGCUAAGUGCGAGAUCCACCAAUAACGGUUAACAUUCCGAGUGUUCAACGAAAAAGUGUGGAAGGUGAAUAUUGCCAUAUGGUGGAAAAUUUUAUGGGGUAAAUAUUGAGUUGGACACUAAAUCGAUCCAUGUAUGAGAUGGGAGAAAAUAUCAAAAACGAAAAAGGAACGAUUUAAUUAUAAACUGUGUUGAACAACAGCAGUUGGGUAACUUUGAAAAAUCACCAUAAAUGGUGGAAAAUGAAUGGGAAGCUGAAUAAUAUAUGAAAUUGAAGCUGAAUGUGUCUAUUUUCAUAUGAAAGAAAGAGAAUAAGCAAAAGAGUUGUAUUUUUGGAGAUAUCUGAAUUUUACUGAAACAGAGCUGGAUUGAUUUCGAGAUCCCCUGUUCCAACUUUGGAAAAUUACCAAAAAUUGAAAAAAAAAAUAAUUAUGGCAUGAAAUUUAUAUCCCUGGAAUCCUUAUUGAGUUUAUUUUUAUUAGAAACAAGAAAACCCAUUUUUCAAAUUUUGUACAGAGAGUUAAGUAAAUUUUAGUGAGGAAGGGUCAGAACCGUUGGGCAGUGAAACAGGGGAAGGUUUAAUGAAUAAACUGUACUAAUUGGCUGGGUUAAAAAUUCUGAAAUUUUUAUGGUGAAAUGGUAUAUGAGACUAGUUUCAGGGAAAAUUUACGGAACUCAAUUUGGAGCCCUGUAGCUCCAGAUAAAAAUAAAUUAGCGACUAUGACGCAGAAAAACAGCUUGCUGGAAAUUGCCUAAACAAUAAAGUUAUUCAUGAAUAAGUUAUAUUUUGGUGUAGUUAUGGGAGUAAUUACUUAUUUAUCAUGUGUUUACUUACUAAGCUAUAUGCUUACUCGAUUUUAUUUUUCUCUUGGUUAUAGUGACUUCCAACAACUCGGAAAUUGGAACGAAGUCAGACAGUCAUCUACACUAUCCUUCACAUUUGGGGUAUUUUACUACUAGUGUUCCGAAAUUUUAUGGCAUGUAUAGACACUUUAUGUAAUGUGGGAUCAUCAUGUAAAUAUAUGUUAUGGUUCCCUUUUAAAUGUAGUGUUUAUUAAUAGUUAAACUAUAUGUGUGUUUAUACAAAUGAAAUUGGUUGGUAUAUUGGAAUGUGUUCUAAAUGUGCAGGAGGUUUAAGCAAAAAUAAGUAGGAAUGCUGUCGAAAAUUUUUAAAAAUUUAGUAAUACCUCAUACUCUGUUCCGGUAAGGAAUACGGGUAAGGGGUGUUACAUAGAAAGCUUGUUAUGGAGAACAAAUUUCUUGAUAAAGUAAAAAAUAAUGCAACUGUCCGUAUAUGGUCAAAGAAAAUGUAAUUAGAGAAAGGAGAUAACCUAGCUGAGGGGUAUACAUCAAAAUUAUGGGAUUACACCUGUAUCAGCGUGACGCAAAAUAAUCUUCAGGAAUUAAAAGAGAUAUGAGACCAGUGGGAUGAAGAGACUAAGCAGUUUUUUUUAUUGUAAUUAUGAGGAUUUGUCUUACCUACUUGACAUCAAGGUAGACGAGCAUUUAUUUCGGCACCCUCGCUCAGUAUUGGAAUCCUACCUAUAGUUGUUUUACCUUUGGGAGGGUAGAUUUGGUUCCUACUGUAGAAGAAUAUACAGCUUUACUUCAUUAUCCGAAGAUCUAAGCCAAUAAGGUCUAUUCGAGAGCCGCUUAUGUCCCGACCUUUUAGAAGAAAUUGAUGAAUAUUACAGGGAUGAGUGAACAGUGGAUUAUAGCAAUGGUCAAGCAAAAAGGUGAGUGUAAGUGCAUCCCAUGGAGAAAUUUGAGGGAUUUGAUUCUAGUGCAUCCUGAUAUGAAGAAGAGAGUCGACGUUUUUGCUUUGAGCAUCAAUGGAUUAAUUAUUUUCCCUUGGUCGAGACAUUUAGAUAUUUGAAUGCAUGCAGAAGAGCUGGCGAGGGCAGAUUUAUAGGGUGUGCGCAGUUGUUGUUAGCUUGGUUCUACAACCAUUUCUAGAAGGUGGAUAAAGUUUCUUAUCAGUUUUUUUUCCAAGAAUUACUCCCCGUUAAAGGAGAUAGUGGCCACGCCCAGGAGAGAUGACAUAUUAGAAGAAAAUUGGAUCGCGUUCCUUCAAAAUCUCUAGGAAAAGGACGUUGAGUGGAGAGCUCCUUGGUUGGUUCCUGACGAAAUUCUUUACCGAUGUGGGAGUUUUGACUAGGUCUCUCUGCUGGGAAUUUGGGGAGCUAUUGGGUAUGUUCCUUUGUUCAUGCUGAGGUAAUACAGAUCAAGACAGUUCAAACUGGCAACGCACGGGCUAACUCAAUGUAAAUUUUCGUGUGGAAGAGAUAACUACAAGAAAAUGAUUAAGGGGAUUUCUAAUGCUUGAAAUCAGACUUACUAGAUAAAAAAAGUUAUUUUAGGUUCGAUGACGACCCUCAAAUAUGAUGCAUGGUGGAGCAGAAGAAUCAAUGAUAAUAUCCCGGGCCAAGUCAAGAAAGCGCUCGAUUGAUGGAAGAAUACUUGCAAAUAGUCCCCUCUGAGGUAGAAAUCAUAAAACAUGACUUCAAAAAAAGAAAUUCAGAGUUAGGAAAGAAGAUAGAACAAUUGGAAGAGGAAAAUAUGCAUUUAAGGUUAGAGGACAAUGUUCAGAAACUCGAGGCUAAUAAAUUAAGAAAGGGAAAGAGGAACGCCAAGGAGGAUUUGAACAGCUUAAAAAAUGAUUACAAGAAGCUGAGUAUGUCGAUAAGAACUGUCGGAUUGGAAAAGACAUCAGAGCAAUGGCGACAAGAAAUCCAAGAAGAAAACGCUAGAGCCAAUCAGUGAGAGAAGAGGUUCCAUAAUACUCGAACACGAGAAAACACUUUAAAAAAAGAGCUUGGUUGAGAGCCAAAAUGAGAAGGAGAUGUUAGUAGCUCAGGUAGCAGAGUUAGAAAAGGCACUACAUCAAUGUCGUGGUCCUAGCUCCGGCAUUGAAUUAAGGGCCAGUCUGAGCAAGAUCAAGGAUUUGAAAGGAAAGGUAGAAGAACUUGAGACUGCGCUACAGAACUGUGAACUUUGAAUUAAAUUCCUCGAGUCAAAUAAUGAGCAGUAGAAAGAGCAGCUUCGUUGAUCGCAAGACCAGGUCAGGGAUAAGGAUUACGUUAUGGGUGAGGCUGUGACUCAGAUACGAGUGGUGGCCGAUCAUUUACAGACCUUAGCAGUUUAGGCUAACGUGCUAAGUGUGAAAUAUGAGUUAGAGUCAGACCGGGGUCGUGAGCUGGCUUGGCUUCUUAAGAGAGUUAAAACUUUGAGCAUCAAGGCAAAUUCGUAUAUAUGAUCUGUUUUAUGUAAAGAAUUUUAUUUUUUUAAUAAAGUUAUUCUAAAUGGAAUUAGAUCAGAAUCGACGCCUUUUUAGUUUUGCAUUCAUCUCAUGCAUUUGCAUUACAUCGCAUCAUGUGUAUUAAAUUUCACAAAAGAAUCCUAAUUAAUUAGAAAUCGUAUUAUAAGUACCCUGGAACAUCACACUACACACGGAGAAAAACCAAAGCUAUGGAUCAAAGGUUGGAAAAAUUGGAACAAAUGUAGUAGGAGAUACAUGAUCAACUGCAAGUAUAGAUACAAGAAUAGUUGGCCAAAAUCCAACAGGAUAUGAGGGAUCAGAUGCUGGAAUCUCAAAGGAAUAUGAUGAACCAAUUGACCCAGUUACUGAUUGGAGGACCAAAAAAGGGGAGGAGCCCAAUGAUCAAUACUGGGGACGACAGCGAGGACCUUGCUUACCCUCCAGGUUUCACCCCAACGAAUACCCAAGCACCACCACUAUAACAAUCCGGUUUUGACCCUAAUCAUAACAGUAGUUUAGAGACCACGCAACCGAUUUUGAGAAAUAUUUUAAUAUUAUUUUCUGUGUCUAUGAUGUGUGAAUUUAUAUCUGCAUAGUUUCUGUGAUUUAAUUUGUCUGUUUCUAUGCUUAACUUUGAUAAAGGACUAAAUCAAGUAAAAUGCAAAAGUUGCAAACUAAUUGUUAAUGGGGUUAUUUGGCCUUGUCUUUUAAAAUAAGGGUCCUUGCAUGUCAAAUUUACCAUUUGUUUUAAUGGUGGACAAAUAUGGACAAUAGUUGGUGGAUUUUAAAAUGAAAUAGAUAAGGUUAAAAUAGUCAUUUGUGUAAUAAUAUGUUUUAUAAUAAAACAAAUCAUAAAAUAGCCAUUAUCAUAUUGUUUUUGCCGAAAAUCAAAGAAAAAGAAAAAAGAAAAGAGCUUUAAGUUUCGACACUUGUUUUGGUUGAUUAAGGUAUGUACUUUGGUCCGUUUUUGAUAAUUUCUAUGUUUCUGUGAUCGUUGCUUUGUGUUCUUCAAAACCCAUGUCCGAAUUUCUAUUUCUGUUGAAGAUUAUGAAAUGUGCCAUUGAUGAUUAUAUGAGCUUAGUGAUAUUUUUAUAUGGAUUAUGAAAGAUAUAUGUGAGAUUACCAUGCUUUGUUCUUGAAUUUUUUAUGGAAUAGAGUUAUUUAGGCUAAUUUGUGAAAAUGAGGUUUUGAAGGACUAAAUUGUGAAUUAAAUAUGUUAAUUGGGCUUGUAUGAAAGCUAUGUAUAUUCAGCCAAGCUAUAGUCUUGGUGAAUUUUGCAUAAUUGUGAUUUUGUGAAAAAUGGACUAAAUUGUCAAAGUGUGAAAAUGUAAGGGAUAAAAUGUAAAGUUCCCUAAAUAUGUGUUCAUGGAUUAUUUUGAAUGAAAUUAAUGAUUGAAUGGUUGUAUUUGAAUUGUAUUAGAUAAAGAACAAAGAAAAUCAGACUUAGAUCGAGGGAAGUCCAAAAUAGUUGAAUAGUCAACUCGUUCCGUCUGAAAUCCGUACGAGGUAAGUCAAAUUACAAUUAUGUGUUAAAUUGACUAAAAUUCUGCUCAUACAAACUGUAAUCUGUAUUGGAAGGCCUUGAAAGCCUGAUGAAUGAAUUCUGAUUAAAUUCUGAUAAUAUGCUAGUAUCUGAAAAGCUCUGUAUAUAUCUAAAGGAAUGUGAACAUUGAUCUGAGAUGUAGUGUAAGACCAUGUCUGGGACAUCGGCAUCGUAUCUGAUUUCGUGUAAGACCCUGUCUGGGACAGAGGCAUCGAUACUGAAUUACAUGUAAGACCACGUCUAGGACGUAGGCAUUGUACUCGUUUAUGAGCAUCUGUAUCAUUUCUGAACCAUCUGAUGAUAGAGUAUGAGGUAUGGGAAUAAAUGUAUAAAAUGUAUAAUCUAUACAGGUAUGCUUGUAUCGUACUAAAUUUUUAAAUAUGAAAGACUCUAUUUCUGUGAAAUAAUGAAUGUGAAGUAUGUAUGGAAUUUGGAAAUGAAGCAUGACAUGUAUACAAGUAAAUGAGCAUGGUUAGGCUCAUGAAUUACUCUGUGAAAUGGCUAUAAAUUUAUGCUAUUGACUUUCACUUUAUAUGCUUUUAUAGUUAAACUAAUUGUAUUUGGCUUACUAAGCUCUAUGUAACUUACUCUGUGUAAUUUUUGUCUGUUUUACAGUUAUCGUAGCUACGGAAGGGUCGGGGACAGUCAAGGAUUGUCACCACAUCAUCGAACUCAUUUUGGUACUUUUGAAAGUGUAAAUAUAUAUUUUUUAAAUAUGGCAUGUAUAGGCUAGAAUGUCUAUGUAUUAAACUUUAAUAUGUAUAUAUGUUAUGCCAUGAGAGUUGGCUAACAAAUGGUACAUUUGUGCUUAGUUUUGGUAAAUGGUUUGUGAUGCCAAAUUGUGUAUGAUUGUAAUGGUUAUAUGGCCUUAUAUGUGAUGAUCAUUCUGAAAUAUGCCAAGUUAAAGAAAUGGUAAGUUUAAGCAUGAGUUAGAAGGUGCCAUAAUUGAGCUAUGAAAUGAGCAUUUUGGCAUGUUGUUGUAAUAAGAUUUUUAAUGUGUUUUUGGUAUGGAUUUGAAUAGGUUGUUAAAUGAUGAUGAUUUAGUUAUAUUGAAGCAUGUUAUGAGCAUGGAAUUGGCUAAAAUUUUGGUAUAAGUAUUGUUUAAUAUUUCUUGUAGUAAUGACCCAAAAAGGGGUGGCAAGUUGGCUUAAACCAAGCCUGUGUUGUACCACACGGUCAGGGAACACGGGCGUGUCAUAUGGCCGUGGGCUUAAGUCAGUAGCUAGCUAAGUAUCACAUAGCCAUAGCACACGGGCGUGUCUAUUGGCCGUGGGUGAAAGUCAGUAUGUGUGCCUUAUUUUGGCACGGCUGGUUCACAUAGGUGUGUCUGAUGCCCGUGUGAGGCACACGGCCUGGUCACACAGGCAUGUGACCUUAACAGAAUUGAAAAAAAAAUUUUGAGUUCUAAAAUUUAUUAAUGUGUUCGGUUUAGUUUCGACUGUCCCUAAAAGUAUAUUUUAGGUCUCGUAGACCAUCAAAAGAGAUGAAUUGCUAAUUUUAGCUUAUGUAUUAAUGUUAUGUGAUGUCUGUGAUUCUGAAUUAGUCUGAAAUGUUCUGUCUGUCUGGUAAUACCUCGUAACCCUAAUCUGAUGAAGGUUAUGGGUUUAGGGUGUUACAACCAUAAAAGGGUGUCUGUCAAUAUCAGACCCCAAUGUCAGAUUGGUUCUUUGGCAUCAAUAAAAUUUCCCAACGGUCUCGAGUUCUAACCCCGAAGACAAUCGGGCAAAUCUUAUAGUCCCUGACCUCGAUGAUGUGACGGAAGUGGGAAGGGUAAGAGCGAAACUCCUAAAGCAAAUGGAAGAUCGAUGCAAAUGGCUGGAGGAGAAAUUCAAUGCGUUGGAAAAUGCUGAUUAUCAUUGUGGAGUGGAUGCUAAGGAGUUGAGCCUGGUCCCAGAUUUGGUACUCCUUCAAAGUUCAAAAUACCAGAGUUUGAAAAAUAUAAUAGGACUAGCUGUCCUGAGGCCCACAUUACAAUGUUCUGUCGAUGACGGGAUAUGUCAAUAACGAUCAAUUUUUAAUUCACUGUUUCCAGAAUAGUUUGACUAGGGCUGUGGCCAAAUGGUAUAAUCAGCUGAAUCGUACCCAAGUUAAAUCAUAGAAGGACUUAACACAGGCCUUCAUGAAGCAAUAUGGCCAUGUGACAGACAUAGCGCCUAACAGGAUCACGUUACAGAACACGGAGAAAGAGUCAAGUGAAAAUUUUAGGCAAUAUGCUCAGAGGUAGAGAGAAGUCGCUAAACAAGUCCAACCGCCACUGCUGGAAAAAGAAACAACCAUACUCUUCAUUAAUACCUUGAAAGCACCUUUUAUUAAUCACAUGCUGGAAAGCACAACUAAGAAUUUCGCGAACAUAGUGAUGUCUGGUGAAAUGAUAGAGAAUGUGAUAAGGUGUGGAAAAAUAUAGGUUGGGAAAAGCACCAAGAGGUCGGCCCCGAAGAAAAGAGAAAAUAAAGUCAGUAAUGUGAGCACGGGUUAUGCAAAACCAAUCACGGUAAACUAACCGAGAACGGUAGCCAUAGGCCAGCAAGCCUCGCCAAGAUAAGAGCCCAAUACAAAGCAAAAUAAGGAGAAGCUCUAGUUUACUCCCAUUUCAAUAACGUAUCGGGAGCUGUACAAAAGUCUAUUUGAUGCACAUGUUAUAUCCCCUUUCUACUUAUAACUGAUGCAACCCCCAUACCCCAAGUGGUACGACACAAGUGCUCAAUGUGACACUCGAUAGAGAGCUACACCUCUUUCAAAAGGUUAGUCGAAAGGCUCAUCAAAAUGGUUGUUGUGAAAUUUGAUGAUGCACUUGGUGUAGGAAAUUCGUUACCCAAUCAUACUGAUAAUGGGGUAAACGCGAUAGUCGAGAAUAUAGGGAGGAGAAUUAAGUUGAAUGUUGCAGAAGUAAGAACCUCGUUGAGGGAGAUUUGGAGGAAAAUGGUAGAAAGAGGGUUAGUCACGCAAGACUUAGGGAACAAAUCCUGAGAAGCGAGGAACUAUUGUGAGUUCCACGGGGAGGAGGAUCAUGAGAUUCAGAGAUGCAGUAAAUUCAGGGCCCUGGUGCAGGAUCUAAUGGACAACAUGGAGUUAGAGUUCUUUGAGUUCACUGAAGGAGAUGACGUAUGCACCGUAGGAGGAGGGUCGGUAGAGAUGGUCUGUGAGGCUAGUCGCCUAGUGGUAGUUAUCUCACAACCAAGGAUCAGCGAAGUUGGAGCAAAAGUUACACCAAGAGUCAUAAUCCAGAAACCCGUUUCUUUUUCUUAUAAGGAUAGCCAAAGAGUACAUUGGAACUAUGACUGCAAUGUGACAAUCCUGGAAGAGGAGGGCCCAGUCAGCACGCCAAAUACAAAAGUCAAGCCUAAAAAAGAGAUAUUAUUGAUGAUCGAAUCGAAAAAAAGAAAGCCAGAGCUACCUGUUAAUGAGUCAGCAACUGAGAACGAAGCUAAAUAAUUCUUUAAGUUCCUAAGGCACAGUGAGUAUAGUGUCGUGGAACAACUACACAAGCAGCUGGCUCGCAUAUAGGUACUAGCUCUACUCUUAAGUUCGGAGACGCAUCGUAAUGCGCUACUGAAAGUAUUAAAUGAAACCUAUGUCACUAACGAUAUUUUGGUAAACAAGCUAGACAACCUUUUCAGCAACAUAAGCACCGAUAACUUUAUCUCUUUCAGUGACGAUGAAAUACUGCCAAGGGGCUUGGGAUCCACUAAGGCUCUGUAUAUUACCACCCGCUGCAAAGGGUAUACAUUCCGGGGGUACUAAUUGACAAUGGAUCGGCACUGAACGUCUUGCCUCUGUCUAUAUUGAACAAGUUGCCUAUAGACAGCUCUCAUAUGAAGACAUGCCAAAACAUAGUGAGGGCAUUUGAUGGCAUCGAAAGGAAAGUAAUGGGAAGGAUUGAGGUACCUCUUCUGAUUAGAACAAACACAUACGAGGUAGACUUCCUAGUGAUGGACAUCAAGCCUUCUUAUAAUUAUUUAUUGGGGAGGCAUUGGAUUCACUCAGCAGGGGCAGUACAAUCAUCAUUGCACCAAAAGCUAAAGUUGAUGACGGAGGGUCGGCUGAUAACGAUAAACGCGGAGGAAUAAAUUAUCGCAUCCGUUACCAGUGAUGCAUCGUAUAUAGAAAAUGAUAGUGAGUCAAUAGAGUGUUCUUUUCGGUCAUUAGAAUUCAUAAAUGCAACUUUCAUCAUCGAAGGAGGUAAAGUCCCAAUGCUAAAAAUAUCCGAAGCUACGAGGAUGAGUUUGCAACUAACAGUUGGAAAAUGGGCAUUGUCUGGAAGGGGACUUGGGAAAUAUCUCCAUGGACGGGUUAAAGUGCCAAUCUUGGCUAAAAAAUGGGAUCGUUUUGGCUUAGGGUAUAGGCCAGACGUAAAUCAAAGGAGAAAGGAGUUGGAAAGGAAGCAAGAGAGAAGAAUAGCAAGAUUAAAUAGGGCAGAGGUCAGAUGGGAGCCGAUGACCUUCCCUCAUAUAUCCAGAACGUUCGUGCCUGGAGGAGUUAUUCAUCCUGAGCGGAAGGUAACAAGUAAAGAGUCCAAUGAAGAUUUGAUGGGAAAUCUAAGCAUCAGCGUCAUAUCUGAAGAGAAAGUGAUGGAAUGAGAAUUAGCAAGUAUUCGCCCUUAUGAGCCUAGAAGUGUUCUGAACAACUGGACUGUGGAAGAAAUUCCUGUAGUUUUUAGAGCUAACACAAAGUAAUGUUCAAAACACACUUAUUGGUUUAAAGCCUAGAAACAAUAAGAAUCUUUUGUAAAAUAGGCUCAUGUUCAAAACGUCUUUAUUUCAAUAAAAAUACAUUUUUACGUCUCAUUCUGAGCAAAUAUUUCUUUUAUUCUGAGCAAAUAUUUCUUUUAUUCUGAGCAAAUAUUCUUUUAUUCUUGUUUUUAGUCAUAAUCAUGCCGUACAAAUGAGUUAUUCUUAGAUAUAUUUGUUUUCUUAUAUAUUAUUUUGUGCCUACAAUAGGUCUCUAGAUAUCAAUGACAUGAAUGGCACUGUUAUGGACCCAGAAUUCCCUUUUGAGCGAAACAUGUGAAGAUGAUGGAGAUUGUAACUUAUCUCUGGAUUUGUUAAGGAUGGUAGAACAGGAAGAGAAAUAGAUUCUACCUCACAAAGAGAUGAUAGAGAAUGUGACCUUGGAAGAAGGAAAAGAGGUGAACAUUGGAACUUGCAUAACCGAGGAAAGAAGACGGGACCUCAUUGAAUUAUUGCAAGAGUUCAAAGAUAUCUUCGCGUGGUCGUAUCAGGAUAUGCCUGGGUUGAGCGUCGAUAUUGUGGUACACCGCGUCCCCAUAAAAGAAGAGUGCAAGCCAGUUUAACAGAAGCUUCGAAGGAUGAGACCCGAUGUUACAGUAAAAAAAAGAGAGGAGGUCAAAAAGCAAUUCGAUGUUAGGUUCUUACAAGUGGUUAAGUACUCAGAAUGGGUAGCUAAUGUUGUCCAUCUUUAAGAAGGACGGAAAUGUGCGGAUGUGUGUGGAUUACAGAGACUUAAACAAGGCUAGCCCAAAAGACAAUUUCCCAUUGCCUCAUAUUGAUACUUUAGUAGAUAAUACGGAAGGUUACUCACUGUUCUCUUUCAUGGACGGUUUCUCUGGAUACAAUCAGAUAAAGAUGCAUCUGGGGGACAUGGAAAAGACCACAUUCAUAACUCUGUGGAGAACGUUUUGCUAGAGGGUGAUGCUAUUUGGGUUAAAAAAUGUGGGAGCAACGUAUCAAAGAGCCAUGGUAACCUUGUUUCAUAACAUGAUACACAAAGAAAUCGAGGUUUAAGUCAACGAUAUGAUUGCAAAGUCCCGAACUGAAGAGGAGCAUGUGCGAAUUUUGAGGAAAUUGUUCCUGAGGUUGAGGAAAUUCCAACUAAAGUUCAAUUCGAAAAAAUGUACUUUCAGAGCUAGGUCAGGAAAAUUGCUGGGUUUCAUAGUCAGUGAAAGGGGAAUUGAGGUUGACCUAGACAAAGUCAAGGCUAUACAAGAAUUGCCUCUGCCACGCACUCAAAAGAAAGUUCGAGGUUUCUUAGGAAGACUAAAUUACGUCGCCCGGUUCAUUUCACAGCUAACUGAGAAAUGUGAUCCCAUAUUUCGUCUUCUCAAGAAACACAACCCAAGUGUGUAGGAUGAUGAGUGCCAAAAAAUCUUAGACAAGGUUAAGCAAUAUUUUUCCAUUCCCUUAGUACUAACGCCACUUAGUCCUGAUAGGCCACUGAUAUUGUCUUUGACAUUAUUUGACAAUUCAAUGAGAUAUGUGCUCGGCCAACACGAUGAGACGGGAAAGAAAGAAAAGGCGAUAUAUUACUUCAGUAAGAAAUUCACUGAGUGUGAAAUGAGAUACUUGCCAAUUGAGAAAUUAUGUUGUGCCUUGGUUUGGACAACUUGGAGAUUGAGACAGUACAUGUUGUACCAUACGACUUGGUUAAUCUCGAAACUGGACCCUCUAAAGUACAUGAUGGAGUCAACUACUUUAAGUGGAAGGAUGACCAAUGGAAAAUUUUACUUUUCGAAUUUGGCAUAGUCUAUGUGAACUAGAAGGCUGUGAAAGAGAGUUCAAUAGCAGAUUUUCUAGCCAAUAGAGCUCUAGAAGAUUGCGAGUCUUUGAACUUUGAUUUCCUUAACGAAGAUCUAAUGUAUGUGGCAACUACUGAAGAGGGCAUUCCAGAGGAUUGUCCUUGGAAAUUGAACUUUGACGAAGUAUCAAAUGCUGUUGGCAACAGAAUUAAGGCAAUCCUGGUAUACCCAAAUGGAGAUAAUUAUCCAUUCACUUGCAAAUUAGAUUUUGACUGCACAAACAAUAUGGCGGAAUACGAAGCAUGUAUCAUGGGAAUCCGUGCAGCCAUAGAGCAUAAAAUCAAUGUGUUAGAGGUGUAUGCGGAUUCUGCACUGGUGAUCUAUCAACUCAAAGGUGAAUGGGAAACAAGAGACCCAAAGUUAAUCAACUAUCAAAAGCUAGCUCUGGAAUUAACUGAGGUGUUUGAUGAUAUCACUUUCUGUUACCUCCCGCAAGAUGAAAACCAGAUGGCUGACGCCUUGGCUACAUUAGCUUCUAUGAUCAGAGUAAAUAAACGAGAGGAUAUGAAGCCGAUCCAAAUGAGUAUUUGUGAGGCUCCAGCUCAUUGCUGCAAUAUCGGCGAAGAAGAGGAAAGAGAUGGUUGUCCUUGGUAUCAUGAUAUUCUACGAUAUGUGAAGAACCGUAAAUACUCUAAUCAGGCAACUGAAAAUGAAAAGAGAAUAUUGAAGAGGCUAGCCAGUAACUAUGUCUUAAACGGAGAGAUCCUGUAUAAAAAGAGACGGAGAGAUCCUGUAUAAAAAGAGGAAGGAUCAGGUGCUGUUAAGAUAUGUUGACGUUGUUGAAGUUAAGAAAAUCCUAGAAGAAGUCCAUGAAGGUGUCUACGGGACAUAUGUCAAUGGGUUCACAAUAGCCAGGAAAAUCAUAAGAUUCGGGUAUUAUUGGUCCACGAUGGAAGGAGAUUGCAUUAGUUACGCCAAGAAAUACCAUAAGUGCCAAAUUUUAUGGAGACAAGAUCCAUGUGUCUCCUUCACCUCUUCAUGUUAUGACUUCUCCAUGGCCUUUCUUAAUGUGAGGCAUGGACGUUAUUGGGCCAAUUUCGCCGAAGGCUUCUAAUGGACAUCGAUUCAUCUUUGUGGUUAUUGAUUACUUCACCAAGUGGGUAGAGGCUGCUUCAUACGCCAAUAUCACAAAGUCGACGGUCAGCAAGUUCUAGAAUAAGGAGAUCAUAUGUUGAUAUGACAUGCAAAAAAAGAUCAUAUCAACAAUGCGUUAAAUUUGAAUAACAGCGUAAUAGUAGAGGUCUGCAGUCAAUUCAAAAUUAAGCACCACAACUCGUCACCAUAUCGCCCGAAAAUGAAUGGUGCAGUUGAGGCGGCUAAUAAAAAUAUCGAGAAGAUUGUGGGGAAAAUGACUGAGACCUAUAAGGUUUGGCAUGAAAAGUUACCAUUUACUCUCUAUGCCUAUUGAACAUCUGUCAGAACUUCUACCGGGGUAACACCUUACUUAUUGGUUUAUAGGAUGGAGGCAGUUUUGUCCAUUAAAGUUGAAAUUUCUUCUCUCCCGAUUUUAUCAGAGUUGAAUGUCAAAUGUACCAGAAGUGAAUGAUGCGAGCUUACAACAAAAAAGGUUCACCCUAGAGUAUUCUAUGAGGGGGACUUGGUAUUGAAAAAGAUCCUCCUUAUGCAAAAAGAUUUCAGAGGAAAAUGGAUACCAAACUGGGAAGGACCUUAUGUGCUAAAGAAGGUUUUUUCUGGAGGAGCGUUGAUAUUAACUGAGAUAGAUGGUAAGAGCCUGCCUAACCUAGUAAAUUCGGAUUCAAUUAAAAGGUACUUCACUUAAAAUGAGAGGCUAAGGUGAAAACCAGCAAAAGGCACCUAAAAAAAAGAAGGGGGGAGAGGUCGAGGUGAAGACCUGCAAAGGGCGUCUUGAGACCAAAGGAGUUUUGAAUUGAAAACCUGAAAAGGACAAUUUAAAUUUCGAUCAAAGAUGAGGCAUGUGGUAGUCUUGCUAUGCUUAAAUUAACAAAGAGGAAGUAUGUUACAUCUUGAGGCAUCGACAAAGUGCUCUAGAUCUCCUAGGCACAUGAUAAGCUCAAAAUGAUCCUCGAGGAGUUCGUACAGAGAAGUUUAGGCUGCGAUAUCUAGGGCACUUAUUUUUUCCCUUUACCUAUUUUUGUAUUCCUGCAAUGUUUGCUUUCUUUGAUUAAUCCAUUCUUUUCAGAUUUUGUUCCUAAUAAAUUUUAAAUUUAUCCAUCUUUACAAUCUUUUUUAAGUGUUUCAUAUUGAAAUAAUAAUUAAUCACUUUCACAAAAGGAGUUUUGCAUAUUAAUCUAGAAGUUUCUAAAUAGUGCAAGAACCUAAAACAAGACUAUUGUUUAGAACUUACCAAGCUUAAGGGUUGGAAAUAUUUGAGUCCAAAUUGAGAUUAUCUCUUCAGAUUUUCAGUCAAAGAUAUCGGUUGAACAAGAAGACAAGAAUCGCGUCAAUAACAAAAACGAGCGAUGUCAAUCCAAGCAUAAAAAUUGGAUCAUUCUCGAGAAAAGAAUAAUGAUAUUCUUCAUUCAUGCAAAUAUCAAGUGUACACAUCUGGUCAUAACACCUGAGGAAUGGUGUAAUAGACCAAAUUGAUGAAAAAGAUUUAGAUCUUAUACUCUUGAGUUACAGGGGAAUGUUUGAAGAUGGUACAAACCUUAGGCCCUAGAGGUACAAUGAAAUGGACCUUGAAGUUACAAUGGGGCAAACCAGUUGAGCAAAAUAGAUUGUUUCUGCGGGUUUUCUGUCAAAAAAACUAGCCGAGCAAGAAGGCAGCAUAAUACGUCAGUUAUAAAACUCUAAUGAACAACGAGUGAUGACACCUUAAGCAUUUAAAAAUGAAUCAUUCUCAUGAUAUUUCUGCAUUCAUAUCAUUCAUAGCACAUUUGGUUAGAAGCAUCUGAUUUAUUCUGAUCAUAGCAUCCUAAUCAUUUGGCAUAAACAUAGCCAUAUGAACCCGAGUCUAUAGGACAUGUCCCCUAGAGGAUGGUGUAGCAACAUCGGUAAAUUCAUGAAUCUUAUCUCCCUAAGCAGUAGUGGAGAAAAUCGAAGACGACGAAUCUUAUCUUCUCAAGGUAGUGGAGAAGUAGAUUUAAGCCACUAGCCUUAUCUCCCUAAGUAACAGUGGAGUAGGCUGAAGAUUGCGGAUUUUAUCUCCCUAAGUAGUAGUGAAGCAGUUCGAAGAUGACGAAUCUUAUCUUUCCGAGAUAGUAGAGAAGAAGAUUUAAGUCACAAGUCUUAUCUCUCUGAAAUAGCAGUGGAGCAGAUUGAAGAUUGUAGAUCUUAUCUCCAUGGGGUAGUAAUAGAGUAGAUUGAGGACAAAGAAUCUUAUCUCCAUGAAGCAGCAAUGGAGCAAAUCUAAGCCACCAGUCUUAUCUCCCUGAAGUAGCAGUGGAGUAUAUUGAAGAUCGUAGAUCUUAUCUCCAUGAGGUAGCAAUGGAGCAGAUCAAGGACAGAGAAUUUUAUCUCCAUGAAGUAGCAAUGGAGCAGAUUUAAGCCACCCGCAUUAUCUCCUUGGAGUAGUAAGGGAGAAAAUUAAAGAUUGUAGAUUUUAUCUUCCCGAAGUAGCAGUGGAGUAGAUCAAAUACGACGAGUCUUAUCUUCAUGAAGUAGCAAUGGAGCAGAUUUAGGCCACCAGCCUUAUCCCCCUAAGGUAGCAGUGGAGUAGAUUGAAGAUUACAGAUCUUAUCUCUCUGAGGUAGCAGUGGAGCAGAUUGAAGACUGUAGAUCUUAUCUCCCUGAAGUAGCAGUGGAGCAGAUCGAAAACUGCGAAUCUUAUCUUCAUAAAGUUACAGUGGAGCAGAUUAAAGCCAUCAACCCUAUCUCCCUAAAGUUGCAGCAGAGUAGACUGAAGGCAAUGACUAUUUCCUUGGAGUUCCAACGGAGUAGAUCGAAACUACAAAUCACUUUUCCCUGAAAUUACGUUUGAAUGGAUAGAAGUAACAAUUUAUAUACCCUUGAAGAUGUAGUGGGUUAAAGCAAGGCUACUUGAGGAAAAGAAGCAUCAAGAAGUCAAAACUCAGCAAGACCAGGAAAAAUUGGCCCUUUUAAAGUCUUUGCUCCAUUCCCGUUACACGACAAUGAGCAAAGAGGGGCAGUUGUAAGGCCCAAUUUUAGGCCGAGGCCCAAUAAACAACAGUCCAGAAUUAUAAAGUCCAGUUACAACCAAACUUAAAACCCAAAAUAUACAAAGCAUCCCAACAGGCUCAAAACAUAACCCUAUCCCAAACUAAAACCCUAAACAGAAAAUAAAAAAGUAGCACGCCCCUUUGACCAGCGCCGCAUGUUUGUCGGCUGCCCCGCAUCCCGCUCCUC
rnacentral:lncRNA from 1 species